rnacentral:rRNA from 1 species
CAGUCGAACGAAGCACUUUAUUUGAUUUCUUCGGAAUGAAGAUUUUGUGACCUUUUGGCGGACGGGUGAGUAACGCGUGGGUAACCUGCCUCACUACAGGGGGAUAACAGUUGGAAACGACUGCUAAUACCGCAUAAGCGCACAGGGUCGCAUGACCUGGUGUGAAGAACUCCGGUGGUAUGAGAUGGACCCGCGUCUGAUUAGCCAGUUGGUGGGGUAACGGCCUACCAAAGCGACGAUCAGUAGCCGACCUGAGAGGGUGACCGGCCACAUUGGGACUGAGACACGGCCCAAACUCCUACGGGAGGCAGCAGUGGGGAAUAUUGCACAAUGGGGGAAGCCCUGAUGCAGCGACGCCGCGUGAGCGAAGAAGUAUUUCGGUAUGUAAAGCUCUAUCAGCAGGGAAGAAGAAAUGACGGUACCUGACUAAGAAGCACCGGCUAAAUACGUGCCAGCAGCCGCGGUAAUACGUAUGGUGCAAGCGUUAUCCGGAUUUACUGGGUGUAAAGGGAGCGCAGGCGGUACGGCAAGUCUGAUGUGAAAGCCCGGGGCUCAACCCCGGUACUGCAUUGGAAACUGUCGGACUAGAGUGUCGGAGGGGUAAGUGGAAUUCCUAGUGUAGCGGUGAAAUGCGUAGAUAUUAGGAGGAACACCAGUGGCGAAGGCGGCUUACUGGACGAUUACUGAUGCUGAGGCUCGAAAGCGUGGGGAGCAUACAGGAUUAGAUACCC